rnacentral:tRNA from 2 species
GCCCAAGUGGCGGAAUGGUAGACGCAGGGGAUUCAAAAUCCCCCGCCAGCGAUGGCGUGCCGGUUCGAGUCCGGCCUUGGGUACCA